UCCCCCUCCUCCUGCAGCCUACAGGUGUUUUCCACUCCCAGACUCCAGAGCACAAACAGUAACAGAGAGAUAAUGGACUCGCAACCCAAGCCACAGCUGCUCCUAGGCAGCGGGGUCCCGCGAGGCUCAGGACAGAUUCAGCGCUGGCUGCUGUCGCGGGGCCUGGGUGCCGGCUCUUGCGUCGCCUGUGCACGUCCUCCCCUUCGCUCUGCACCCUUGAGUCCCUUCAGGGCGCACGGUGGCUUGCUCACACCCCUCCCACCGCGUUUCACUGAAAAUGUUCAACAUCGUUUUUCAUCUCUCCCUUUUCCACUGCUCCAAACGCAAGCGUCCUAGGCCUCGUCCCGUUUUCCCUCGAACUGAAAUAACUCACAGCAGCUUGCUUGAUCCAAGAGAGCCAGAGAGGAAACUGAUGUUUACCCCAAAUCCAAACAAUAAGAAGCUCGAAGAGCAGACGUGCUGUGUAUCACGUCUCUAGAAAUACGCGGAGGUAGGCGGGAGAGCCGAGCCCACGGCUGCGCGGCCGGCCUUGCUUCUCCUGCCUGCGCGGCCCUACCGGACCACGACUGCGGGCAAGCACGCAAAGGCACUGGCCAGGCUUCGGUCCCAGCCCAAAGAGCUGAGGCCAGCUUAUUUACAAUGCAUAGAAGUUUCCGUGGCUCCGGGUGUGGGAGCCGGAAGUGCACGAGACAGCGCCAGGGCCGGCCGCGUCUGAAGAGCUGCUCCUGGCCUUGUACCGCGGCAGACGUUACCGCAGGGUGAGAGAGCGAGGCAGCAAGCUCAGGCGCUUCUUAGAAAGACCCCAGUGCCCAGAGGGGGGCCCUGCCCUCGUGACGUCAUCAGACCCUCCCUCUCUCCCUCGGGAGGCCCCACCCCCAUAUGCCCCUGGUAUACGAAUGCGGGGGCUCAGUCUUCAACACUUGGACAUCUGGGGCACAUUCUGUGUCCCCACCGGAGUAGGAAAGGCCCAACUAACUGGAUCAGCAGAGCUCUGGAUGUGAUUGAGGGGCUCCCUGAAGACGGAAGACCCGCCCUGGUGUGAGUGACAGCGACAGACAGGCUUGCCACCCGAAAGGAAUAAAAGGGAGACAGGAAGGAAGACUGCGUCUGCUUCUUCAGAGGGGAGCUCCAGCCUUCACCUCCACCUCGGCCGUCCUCUCCUGGCUUCCAGCGCCGAGCCUUCCACCUCCUGAUGUGAACCCCACAGCCAGCGCAGGCCUCCACUGGGGCCUCCGGCUCUCGUCGCAUGGACGGCCCCCUUGCACCUUCCACGUCCGACUCUGCGGGAGGCCAUUGUGAACCAACCUUCCCAGCAGAGCAGCUACACCAGGAGAGGGGCCGCGGGAAGCUGCGUGCCGUCCUGGUGAUCUGGCCAGUUUCUCCCUCAGUGCUGUGUUAAGCUUUGUGUGGACUGUGCACUUUUGUAACCUUGACUUCCUUCCAUGUCCUACCAAAAGGGAGCCAGUUCUUGCAUCUCACGUCUCCCCAAAAGAUUUGUCACCUCUGGAAUUUACUUCACUUGGGUUCCUUGUGACCUUAGCUCUCUGAUGGCAUCAAUAAACCUUAUGAUUUCAUGGA